UUUCCGUAGGUGAACCUGCGGAAGGAUCAUUACCGAGUCUUGGACUCUCACGCCCAAGCCGCCACCCUGUGUUUUUGCGAACUGGUUCCUUUGGCUGACGCGCACCGAUGAGAGCCCGCCUGAGGCUCCCCGCUUUGGGCCCCUACACGUAACUAGCGAGCAAAAGUACUUAAAAAAACUACCAUCGUAAAUAAUUGCAAUAAUGGAUAACAUCGUUCAACAACGGAUCACUUGGGUCUGGCAUCGGUGAAGAACACAGCAGAUCGGAAGUCCACACGC
rnacentral:misc_RNA from 1 species